UACAGAGGGGGCAAGCGUUGUUCGGAAUUACUGGGCGUAAAGGGCGCGUAGGCGGCCUGUUAAGUCGAACGUGAAAUCCCCGGGCUCAACCCGGGAACUGCGUCCGAUACUGGCAGGCUUGAAUUCGGGAGAGGGAUGUGGAAUUCCAGGUGUAGCGGUGAAAUGCGUAGAUAUCUGGAGGAACACCGGUGGCGAAGGCGGCAUCCUGGACCGACAUUGACGCUGAUGCGCGAAAGCCAGGGGAGCAAACGGG
rnacentral:rRNA from 1 species